GACGAACGCUGGCGGCGUGCUUAACACAUGCAAGUCGAACGGAAAGGCCCUGCUUUUGUGGGGUGCUCGAGUGGCGAACGGGUGAGUAACACGUGAGUAACCUGCCCUUGACUUUGGGAUAACUUCAGGAAACUGGGGCUAAUACCGGAUAGGAGCUCCUGCUGCAUGGUGGGGGUUGGAAAGUUUCGGCGGUUGGGGAUGGACUCGCGGCUUAUCAGCUUGUUGGUGGGGUAGUGGCUUACCAAGGCUUUGACGGGUAGCCGGCCUGAGAGGGUGACCGGCCACAUUGGGACUGCGGUACGGCCCAGACUCCUACGGGAGGCAGCAGUGGGGAAUAUUGCACAAUGGGCGGAAGCCUGAUGCAGCAACGCCGCGUGCGGGAUGACGGUCUUCGGGUGGUAAACCGCUUUCGCCUGUGACGAAGCGUGAGUGACGGUAAUGGGUAAAGAAGCACCGGCUAACUACGUG
rnacentral:rRNA from 1 species